GUGAAUCAUCGAAUCUUUGAACGCACAUUGCACUUUCUGGUAUUCCAGGGAGUAUGCCUGUUCGAGCGUCAUUUGCAACCAUCAAGCACAGCUUGGUAUUGGAUGCCACCUAGGGGUGCAUCUCAAAAUUAGUGGUGGUGCCACUCUGGUUCCAAGCGUAUUAAAUUUCUCGCUUCUGGAAUUUAGGUGUUAGCCAGCCAGAAAUCUCACUUUUAAGGUUUGACCUCGGAUCAGGUAGGGAUACCCGCUGAACUUAAGCAUAUCAAUAAGCGGAGGA
rnacentral:misc_RNA from 1 species